ensembl:lncRNA
GCUGGGGCCGCUGGUGGCUGCAGCCCCUCUGGCCGUGCUGCAGCCCCUGGCUUCCUUGGCUGCAGCCCCUCCUCUGGCCGUGCUGCAGCCCCCGGCUUCCAUCUCAGCCUCCAGUAGCCCCCAGCAGCCCCGCCUACCAGCAGGGAGAUCACGGGCUGGCAGCCCAGAGCGGGCAGUGUGAGGGACGGGAGGAGAGCAGCCCCGGGGGGGAUCAGGGGCCGGUAGAAAUAGAUGAUGAAGAAGAGGAUAUAGAGAUAGUUGUUGUAUAGAUAGAUAGUGGGUAGCAUGGUACAUAAUAGUUGGUAGCGACGUAGAUAGUGAGAUAGACAGCUGAUGGUUGUAUACAGGUAGUGAACAGAUAGCAGAUAGCUAGGGGUUAUUGGUAGAGAGGUAGUUUAUGGAUAGCAAAGUAGUUAGCAGCAAGCAACAGUUAGUAGUGAUGUAGUUAGAUCAUAGCCAGAUAGCUGAUAGGGGGAUGCAGGAUAGAAUGACGGGUGACUGGGAGACAGUUAGUUUAUAGAGUAUGAUAUAGAACGUUACUAAAAAGAAUCUCUGUUUCAGAUGAGCCACUGCAUCCUGGGACACCACUCUCCCCUCAGUACAAUGAAGACCAACGCCUGAUGCUGCUCCAUCACCAGCAGAAGAACAGCAGCUCUGCAGAGACCCGUCCUGCCAGCAGAGCAUCACGGAGAAGAAGACGCGCCUUCUGCUCACAGGAAGGUACUCGUGCUGCAGCCGCCUCCCUGGCAGCCCCAGCAGCCCCGCACUGCCCCGCUUGCAGCUGCGGCCCCACCAGGGCAGCUGCAGGUGAUGGGCUGGCAGCCCAGUGCGGGCUGUGCGAGGGGCAGGGGGAGGGCAGCCCUGGGGCUGUGGGGGGCUGAUGGCAGUGGAUAGGGAAAUAGCGGACGGCAAGGCAGUUCUUGUCUUGACAGUACGUGAACUGCAAGGGAGUUGAAGAACAGCGGCUCUUGGAAGCGUGACCUGCUGGAAGAUCGUCGGGGAGAAGAGGACGCACCUUCUGCGCCGAGGGAGGUAUGUCAGUGUCUGUGCUCGUGGCCCAGCACACAGAACGUUCCUGGCUGGGAGGGGUGUGCCCAUGAGAUAAGGCAGGGCAGUGGAGGAGCUGAAGAUGACGGGGAAUGUUCUGCAUCUGCGUUUCUUGCACAGGCCGCUUCCUGGGUGUAACCACCAGUGGGGCUCUGACAGUUUCAAAAUGCUUUAGCCUGAGUUGGAGGUCGGAACCAAACGACAGACCUGUUCAUACACAGCUUUCUCUUUUGCAGUUCAAAGUCUUUCUUCCCUUCUCUUUGUGAUUGUCCCUGUUGACCUGGUGGCAACCAACUCUUCUCUUUCGCAUUUGUUUUGCUCAGUCUUCUCCUGUCAUCCGACCUUCAAGGAGACGAUGCUCAGCUGCUCCGGAACAGCCACGGAGGAAACGGACGGAAGAGGAGAGCCCAGAUGACUGCGCCCGUGUGACCUUACAUACAAAGACUGAAUGCAGAGACUGAGCCAGCAAACAAUGGAGUAGAUAGCAUAGAGAGUUAGUUGACACUAAAAUGUAUUAGCAUAGCAUAGUGUAGUUGUCAAAUAGCUUUGUAAAUAAAUUCACUUUGUUCGUAUCCUUAUCUUGUGUUGUGUAAAAUGAUGGGGAUGGGUAGUCUGAUACUUCAGGAAAUAAAUGAUUUGGAAACAUAUCUUUUCUGUUGUUGUGGUUUUUUGGGGGGGGAGCGGGAUGGGGGGGAGGGGUUUUACGGUGAAAUCCUGGACUGAAUUUACAGUUUGUGUCACACAAGGAAGUAGAAACACCUGUUCUAACAUUAGUUUGACCAUUGUUCAUGGCUGUCCAGCUCUGGAUUCUCAUCCACAGGGAGGUGCUGGGUUCCCAUUGCAGAGCUGGGAGCCCCAGCACAGCCAAGGGAAGCUCAGUGCGCCCCUCUGCAGAAGCAUGUGUCUGCUGGAGACUGCAGGGGUGCUGCUGCUCUCUGUGUAGUCAGUGCCAACAGCUUGUCCUUCACGUGCUGAGUUAGAAGCCUGCUAAUCUCGCAUUACUUGUACUCUUGUCUAAAUCUGAUUUUUACAACCAUUAUGCUAGAACAAAUAGGAUUAAUCCAAUGGUGGAGUAUUACUCGAGCUUCACACCAGUCAGUGUGACUUGCAAACUGUUUGUAACCACUUCCAGCUGCACCAGAGCACAGAACUGCGCUCUGUAUUUCUCCCCAUGCUUUUGUCACUUGCAUUUGUGUGACGUGGAGCUCUGGUUUUCACAGAGGCAGAAGGAAUCAUAGCACUUUUUGCCUUUUAACAGGUCUGCCUGCGUUGGGAUUGUAGGUACUCCUUAGGGACCCUGCCCAAGCUUACAUACCUUUGUAAGGUUUGCUACGUACUGCAGAAGAGCAGCAAAUAAGUCAAAGCAGAAGGAUAAGCUGCACUAUUCAACAGCCCGUUCCUUAUAUUUGACCAGUUAGAACGUAAAGCCAUUUCAGCAGAAAGCACAGUUUAAGUCAUGGAGCAUAAAUACAUUUACUUCAGCAGAACAAAAUACAACUCCUGGAUAUUUAUUGCCAUUUUGAGGAUGUUAAUGAAGGAAACAAACCACGAUAAACCACAACGCUCCUCUUUGAAGAACCAGAUCCCAACCGUCACGUUUCCAUUGGCUCUCUGUGAAUUGGUGUUGCUGCACUGGGAGGAAAUCCCGAUAUACCCCAACAGACGGCAGGGAAGAAAACCAACAGCUGUCCCUUCAGCACCGGGCAGCCCCUGCACAGCGCCUGGCAGUGCCAUAGGCAGCCCAAAGCACAGUGUGUGAAUCGACACUGAAGGACACCGCUGGCAGGAAGUCAAUGAAUGUGGGUAUCUUCUGCCGCUCCCCAGGCACACAGCUCAGUAAGUUCACAGGCAUAAGCUUCCCUUGCACUUCUGGAGGGAGGUGUUCCCUGCUGUGGUCCUCUGAAACUAUCGGUGUUGGACUUCAGAACACCAGCAGAGGAGAGCAGAUGAUGACGUGGCUGCAGCUCCAGCGCAUGGGUUUGUACUGUGCAGCCACUGCGUCUCAGAAACACUCCUUUGUGAAUCUCUUCCUUUUUCAUGGCACAGCAGCAACACAGCACCCCAGGAACUGUAUCUCUGGGGUCAAUUCCUCUGAUUCACAUCUGGCACUGCUUUGGAAAACAAGGCUGCAGAGUGUGUUCCUGUGUCACUCAUCCAUCACCUCUGAUCAAACAUCCGUGCCUUCACUGACCCACUUAAAAACACGAAUGAAAUAGCUGAGCUUCCUUUAAAAAGAAUAAUCCUGUAGUUUGUACUUGUGCUCCUCCCAUUACACUAACACAACUAACAGGUAUUAAAGCAAGAGUUCCACCUUCUCAUACCAGCAAUAAACACCCUUGAACAUUAUGUUCCUUACACCCUACAUUUCAUAGAACCAUAGAGCAGCUUGGGUUGGAAAGGACCUCAAGGAUCAUGAAGCUCCAACACCCUGCCACAGGCAGGGCCACCAACCUCCACAUUUAAUACCGCACCAGGCUGCCCAGGGCCCCUUCAACACCUCCAGGGGAGGACAUCCACAGCCUGUCUGGGCAGCUGUUCCAGCACCUCACCACUCCCAUAGUAAAGAACUUCCCCCUGACAUCCAACCUAAAUCUUCCCUCCUUCAACUUAAAACCAUUUUGCUUUUGCUUCAUGUAAAUUCACUGUCCAUGUGAACUCACCAGAUGACAAAAUGAGCAGAGCUGUAGCUGAUUCCAAG